rfam:Beta vulgaris subsp. vulgaris chromosome 3, whole genome shotgun sequence.
GAUGGGAAAUGAUGAUAAAAUAAAUCGAUUAUUAUUCAUAAGCGAUAGCUUUGCUGAAUUAAAUUUAUUUGCACGUCAGUCUGAUCCCAAU